rnacentral:rRNA from 1 species
GACGAACGCUGGCGGCGUGCCUAAUACAUGCAAGUUGAGCGCUGAAGGUUGGUACUUGUACCAACUGGAUGAGCAGCGAACGGGUGAGUAACGCGUGGGGAAUCUGCCUUUGAGCGGGGGACAACAUUUGGAAACGAAUGCUAAUACCGCAUAAAAACUUUAAACACAAGUUUUAAGUUUGAAAGAUGCAAUUGCAUCACUCAAAGAUGAUCCCGCGUUGUAUUAGCUAGUUGGUGAGGUAAAGGCUCACCAAGGCGAUGAUACAUAGCCGACCUGAGAGGGUGAUCGGCAACAUUGGGACGGAGACACGGCCCAAACUCCUACGGGAGGCAGCAGUAGGGAAUCUUCGGCAAUGGACGAAAGUCUGACCGAGCAACGCCGCGUGAGUGAAGAAGGUUUUCGGAUCGUAAAACUCGGUUGGUAGAGAAGAACGUUGGUGAGAGUGGAAAGCUCAUCAAGUGACGGUAACUACCCAGAAAGGGACGGCUAACUACGUG